rnacentral:rRNA from 1 species
GAUGAACGCUGGCGGCGUGCCUAAUACAUGCAAGUCGAGCGAACGGACGAGAAGCUUGCUUUUCUGAUGUUAGCGGCGGACGGGUGAGUAACACGUGGAUAACCUACCUAUAAGACUGGGAUAACUUCGGGAAACCGGAGCUAAUACCGGAUAAUAUUUUGAACCGCAUGGUUCAAAAGUGAAAGACGGUCUUGCUGUCACUUAUAGAUGGAUCCGCGCUGCAUUAGCUAGUUGGUAAGGUAACGGCUUACCAGGGCAACGAUGCAUAGCCGACCUGAGAGGGUGAUCGGCCACACUGGAACUGAGACACGUUCCAGACUCCUACGGGAGGCAGCAGUAGGGAAUCUUCCGCAAUGGGCGAAAGCCUGACGGAGCAACGCCGCGUGAGUGAUGAAGGUCUUCGGAUCGUAAAACUCUGUUAUUAGGGAAGAACAUAUGUGUAAGUAACUGUGCACAUCUUGACGGUACCUAAUCAGAAAGCCACGGCUAACUACGUG